GAUUGUAGACAGCCGGCGCCUUCCUCUUCCCAUCGCGGCGGGUCCUAGCCACCGGUGUCUCCUUCUACAUCCUCCUCUGCGCCGGCUGCCACCCGCGCUCCCUCCGCCGCCGCCGCCUUGCUGCUGCUCAAAGCUGCUGCCGCCCCUUGGGCUAAAAGGUUUUCAAAUGGAACAUUUUGAUGCAUCACUUAGUACCUAUUUCAAGGCAUUGCUAGGCCCCCGAGAUACUAGAGUAAAAGGAUGGUUUCUUCUGGACAAUUAUAUACCCACAUUUAUCUGCUCUGUCAUAUAUUUACUAAUUGUAUGGCUGGGACCAAAAUACAUGAGGAAUAAACAGCCAUUCUCUUGCCGGGGGAUUUUAGUGGUGUAUAACCUUGGACUCACACUGCUGUCUCUGUAUAUGUUCUGUGAGAAUGAAGUCAGUUUAAUUAGCCUCCAAGAUGGAGAGUUCAGGACUGGAGCCAGGGGAAGUGCACAGGAGUGACUCCUGGCCCCAGCACUAUGCACAUUUCUGUGUUCAAGGGACAAAACCACAGCAAGCUGUCAGUUAGUAACAGGAGUAUGGGAAGGCAAAUACAACUUCUUCUGUCAGGGCACACGCACCGCAGGAGAAUCAGAUAUGAAGAUUAUCCGUGUCCUCUGGUGGUACUACUUCUCCAAACUCAUAGAAUUUAUGGACACUUUCUUCUUCAUCCUGCGCAAGAACAACCACCAGAUCACGGUCCUGCACGUCUACCACCAUGCCUCGAUGCUGAACAUCUG
rnacentral:sRNA from 1 species